rnacentral:rRNA from 1 species
UACGUAGGAUCCAAGCGUUAUCCGGAAUCAUUGGGCGUAAAGCGUGUGUAGGCGUCCCGCCGCAUCUUCUAUUAAAUCUCCGGGCUCAACUCGGAAACCGUGGAAGAGAUGGGCGGGAUGGAGAUACGGAGAGGCAGACGGAAUUCCUAGUGUAGCAGUGAAAUGCGUAGAUAUUAGGAAGAACACCGAUGGCGAAGGCAGUCUGCUGGCCGUCAUCUGACGCUGAGACACGAAAGCGUGGGGAGCGAACGGG